GGUGUUGUGGCUCAGUGGUAGAGCACUUGCCUAGUAUGUGCAAGGCCCUGGGUUAAUCAGCACCA
rnacentral:tRNA from 1 species